AAUAGCAUGGCACUUUAGAGAACUAUUGUUCUUUUAAAAUGUUUUAUUUCUUAUUAACUCUAUAUUCAAACAUACAUUUAAAUGUCUAUUUAUUCAAAUCUCUUACCUUUAGAUAUCUUGUGCUAUGUUGUGGACGCUAGACGAAGCUUUUUGUGUGUGGCCAGGACACAAUUAGCGAUGUCUCUUUCCUCAAUGUUCACAGCUUCAGCUGGUUGUCAGUAUCCAGGAAACCCCUCCGGAGAAUGAUGUCACAGUACUCAUCAUUACCAUCACCAUUACCAUCAACUCCACUAAACAGUUGUAAUGCAGCAGACUUCCUCCUUUAAAGUCACUCACUUUCAAAUGCAGAUUAUUUUUCAAAACAAAAAUGAUAAGAUCUGAAUUACUUAUGACCUGAUUUCCUCAUCGGCUUAAGUCCACGCAUACACAGCCUGACCACAAAGAGCAAGAUUUCAAUUAGAGACGUGAGACAUGGAAAUGUGAAGAUUAUGCAUCGGACUGAAUCACUAAUGAGAGUCUUCACAUCUAUCCAUUUAUGGUUGUGUAGCUGAUAUCAUAUGCAGAAGUUAGUAAGUCUACACAUACUGAUGAAAAAUGUAUGCCUGGAAUAAACCACUUUGAAUUAAAUGCACAAAUGUAAACAAG